GGUUAGGAGGGGGUCGCUUCUGCCUCAGCUCCAGUCCCAACACACUACCCAGCCCUGCCCAGUACUCAGUGGAACAUGGGGUGGCCCAGGGGGUGGGGCCUCCUUUGUGGAGGCUGUUCCAGAUUAUAAACAACCCAGAACUGUUCUGGAGAAAGUUACACUUAGGCGAAUAUGAUACUUCAGGAUUAACUGAGGAUGGAGCAGGGAGAGGGGGACAAUCCUGCAGCCUUAAAGGUCUGAAGCAUGCUCUAAGCACACAGGGUGAGUCCUGCUCUGCUUUGGAGCUUCCAAAGAGCAUCCCAUUGUGCCACUUAGAAAAUGCCAGCAUAGGAGUCCCCUGGUGGCCUAGUGGGUUAAGAAUCCAGCGUUGUCACCAAUGCGUCGGGUUCGAUCCCUGGCCUGGGGAACUUCUGCACGCUGUGGGCACAGCCAAAAAGAAAAAAUAAAGGCCAGGAUCAGUUUUAUCCCUGAUGUGACCUACUGUGACCCCCUUUCUAUGACAGAGCACGUGCUGCGGGGUCUUUUCUUGGGAGAACUUAUUAUUUUUUUUCACCUGCUCACAUGAAAAAUUUAGUCCCAGGUGUCAGAUUAUGAUCCUACUGAUGUGACCAAGAUUUCUACCCCAUCUCAUCCGUUGUUGUCACUGCAGUGUCACUAAAGUACAGGGGGUAGUCAUUUCCUCACAGAGCUGUGAUCUUUUCAAAAAUGAUGAUGCAAGCCUGUGGUUUUUAAUCCUCACGUCCAUUUAACCUGAUGGCCUCUUAACUGUGGCCACUUUUCUUUUGACAAAAUAGUGCUUUAAUAAGACAUCAGUUAUUUCGGCAAUUUCAUUCACUGAUUCAUUGAUUAAAGUAUUCAUUGAACAGAUACCUGGUACCAGAACUGUUGGAGGCCUGAGAAUCUAGCAGGAAACGAAACAACUCCCCAAUAUAUAUGUAUUUUUUCCCACUCUAUAAUUAAGUUUACAUUCUUUCUUCUUACCUUGAGGUUUGCAUCCUGCAGCUGGAUUUGAUGCUGUGAAAAGUGACUGCUUUGGAGCCUGGCAGAUAGAGCCUGGAAUCGUCCUUCUGCCCCGGACUUUUCCUUGAGUGAGCAAUAAUUCUCUGCUGUUUCUUCCUUGGAAUCUCCUGGAUGCAUUUGUCAUCUGAGGAUGUUCUUGCUGUAGAAACUGAGGGAGGGGCAAGAGCCCAGUUUCCUGGAGAGGUAAGCUUUGGGACACCAUUAUGUGGAACCCACCCAGAGCCCCAGGAAGGCAGACCUUGUUAAAAAACACAAGGACAUUCAGGAGUUCCUGUUGCGGCAUCUUGGGAGCACUGGGACGCAGGUUCUAUCCCUGGUCUGGCACACUGGGUUAAGGAUGUAGCAUUGCCACAGCUGUGGCCUAGGUGGCAGCUGUAGCACUCCAUCUGCUGCAGGGCAGCCACAAAAGAAAAGAAAAAAAAAAAGGACAUUUGGGGGGUUCCUGUUGUGGCUCAGCCAGUUAAGAACCUGACAUAGUGUCCAUGAGGAUGUGGGUUCAAUCCCUAGCCUCCCUCGGUGGGUUAAGGAUCUGGCGUUGCCACCAGCUGGGGCAUAGAUUGCAGACGCAGCUUGGAUUCUGUAUGGUUGCAGCUGUGGCGUAGGCUGGCAGCUAUAGCUCCAAUUCGACUCUUAGCCUGGGAACUUCCAUAUACCACAGGUACUGCCCUAAAAAGCAAAAAAAAAAAAAAAAAAA
rnacentral:lncRNA from 1 species